rnacentral:rRNA from 1 species
GCGUGCCUAACACAUGCAAGUCGAACGAAGUUUAUGGAGCUUGCUUCAUAAACUUAGUGGCGGACGGGUGAGUAACGCGUGAGUAAUCUGCCUCAAGCUGGGGGAUAACACAUGGAAACGUGUGCUAAUACCGCAUAAGAUAGCAGCUUCGCAUGGAGCAGCUAUUAAAGUUUUUUCGGCUUGAGAUGAGCUCGCGUCUGAUUAGCUAGUUGGUGGGGUAACGGCCUACCAAGGCGACGAUCAGUAGCCGGACUGAGAGGUCGAAC